CUUGUCAACCUGACAAGGUGGCAGUGAGAGCCAGGACACAAUCAGUCUCUCCGUCACUGGUAAAGUCAUAAACCACAGGGACUGUUUUUCAAAUAUUGCUCCAGUUCACCUUCUUUGCCCUUGAAGGCUUCUGGAAGGCUCUCCAGGAAGCUGUGACCUAGCAUUCCACUUGUACGUAUUUGUUGAGAAGCUUCUGUCAAUCAAAGGCAUAAAAUGGGAGGGACCCUGUUAAAGGAGGUUUUUCUGCUCUCUGGGAAAGAACUCUCUCAGACCUCGGCAGGGAGCUGAGAGAUGGAGGAGAACUUUCUGGAGAGGUUUUCUCUUCCCUCACGCAGCAGAGCAUGUCCUCACAGCACGCCAAGGACUCCUCAUGGGAUGUUAAGGAGAAAAAGCAAUCAAUCAGUCAAGGAACGGAAAGCACAAGAUGAGAUUCACCUGCAGUCCAAAUCCACCCCAGCUUUGGCCCAGUGCGGCAGGGCCUCGCCUGGCCAAGGCCCUUCUCAGCCCAGAGAGCUGAGCUCAUCCUGCUGCGAGGAGCCGCCUGCGAAUCCCUGUGGCAAUCACACUUAUCCGUUUCUCAUGUUUAAUGCAAGCAGGCUCCUGAGACAGCGAAGCUCUCAAGAUACCGCCUAAGAUACGCGAUGCUGCCCUUUGCAGGGCAAACACGAGCGUCCAAAGCCGACGUGGGUUCCCCUACUUUACAGUAAUUGUGUUCUCAUCUGCACAGAUGUAAGCAAACCGAUUCUGUCAGAAGCAGAGAAAAAUCCAUACACAAGGGCCUCCGUGUCCUAGAGAGGUUUGGAUUACCUCCGUUUUCUGAGUCCCUUGGUAAUUUCAAAAUGAAGAAAUGCCAAUAUAGGUUAGGUUAUAAAAAUUGUAGUUCAUUGAAAUGUUUAUCAUUAACAAGUUGAUGUUUUAACACAAAAGAGUUAAUGCAAUAUAAUUGUUCUAGCUUCAAGCUAAUCACAGGGCUCAUACAAAGUGGUCAUUCAUAGGGCACUGAAGUAAUGGGACAAGGUGUAAAGCUGUAUUUUGAAUAAAUUCUUUCAAACCUGUCAGUAUAUGACUCC
rnacentral:lncRNA from 1 species